AAUCCAUAGGUUAAUGAGGCGAACCGGGGGAACUGAAACAUCUAAGUACCCCGAGGAAAAGAAAUCAACCGAGAUUCCCCCAGUAGCGGCGAGCGAACGGGGAGGAGCCCAGAGCCUGAAUCAGCAUGUGUGUUAGUGGAAGCGUCUGGAAAGGCGCGCGAUACAGGGUGACAGCCCCGUACACAAAAGCGCAUGUGCUGUGAGCUCGAUGAGUAGGGCGGGACACGUGGUAUCCUGUCUGAAUAUGGGGGGACCAUCCUCCAAGGCUAAAUACUCCUGACUGACCGAUAGUGAACCAGUACCGUGAGGGAAAGGCGAAAAGAACCCCGGCGAGGGGAGUGAAAAAGAACCUGAAACCGUGUACGUACAAGCAGUGGGAGCACCCUUUGGGGUGUGACUGCGUACCUUUUGUAUAAUGGGUCAGCGACUUAUAUUCUGUAGCAAGGUUAACCGUAUAGGGGAGCCGUAGGGAAACCGAGUCUUAACCGGGCGUUAAGUUGCAGGGUAUAGACCCGAAACCCGGUGAUCUAGCCAUGGGCAGGUUGAAGGUUGGGUAACACUAACUGGAGGACCGAACCGACUAAUGUUGAAAAAUUAGCGGAUGACCUGUGGCUGGGGGUGAAAGGCCAAUCAAACCGGGAGAUAGCUGGUUCUCCCCGAAAGCUAUUUAGGUAGCGCCUCGUGAAUUCAUCUCCGGGGGUAGAGCACUGUUUCGGCUAGGGGGCCAUCCCGGCUUACCAACCCGAUGCAAACUGCGAAUACCGGAGAAUGUUAUCACGGGAGACACACGGCGGGUGCUAACGUCCGUCGUGAAGAGGGAAACAACCCAGACCGCCAGCUAAGGUCCCAAAGUCAUGGUUAAGUGGGAAACGAUGUGGGAAGGCCCAGACAGCCAGGAUGUUGGCUUAGAAGCAGCCAUCAUUUAAAGAAAGCGUAAUAGCUCACUGGUCGAGUCGGCCUGCGCGGAAGAUGUAACGGGGCUAAACCAUGCACCGAAGCUGCGGCAGCGACGCUUAUGCGU
rnacentral:rRNA from 1 species